rnacentral:lncRNA from 1 species
CCCCAGAUCUAGAACCGCUGCAGUGCCGAGCUUCCAGGGACGUGAAGCCGGAAAGCCAGGCGCCCUUCUUGACUGCGCCUAGGUGGAACUGGCCCUCCAGCAGCUUGAACGUAGCCUCUUUUCACACUGGUAGUUCCUGAACCUCUUGUGAAAUGAAAGAUGUUCCUCAUUCCAAGCUGAGGACGGAGAAAAGCCGUAAAGCUGACACUGGAGCUAGAAUGACUUGUCAGCCACCUUUGAGCAAGAACUUGCCUGGAGUCCAAAUGUAUGGCUAUUGAAGGAUAGUAAGCAGACAGCACUAAAAGUCAUCCAUUCGUUAUGGAUUUAGUCUUAAGACCCUCAUUUGAGAGAUGCCUUCCCUGUACCUGGAGGAAAGAAACAUCUUUAUCUCUGAAGACACAGGGCCACAGAGAAGAGUCUGAACAAACAGGCUUUACCAAUUUCCCCCAGUUGUUACCGUUAGAUCAGACCUUUGUCCAGUCAUAUCCUUCCACAAGUUGUCCACUCAUCAACCCUAAGCAUAAAAAUGCACAAGUUUCCUUGUUUGUUUGGGUCUUCAUUUCCAAGGGCUCCUAUGUCAUGUUAAACUUUUAAAUAAAUUUGCAUGCUUUUCUCUUGUGAAUCUGGUUUUUGUUAUAAGGGCCUUAGCCAUGAACCUAAGAUGGUAAGGGUUUCUUUUCCCCUACAUGCAAUAUAAGUGGAUUUAAAUUUUAUUAAAAUAAAUAGAAAAAUACCUCCCCAGUGUAGACAUGUGUGUAUGUGUGAGGCGCCCAGGCAACUUGUGGUUCCACUUGGAGACGAGCCUCUCCUCUGUACGUCCUUCCCAAAAUAUCACCUUUGCAGUUAAGAUCAAACUUUGAUUUAUGUGGGACUAACUAACAACUGCAGUCGACAAUAGGAAAGCAGCCAGAAUGAUUCCCUGCCGACGUGGUGGAAUUAUUAGACUCCCAUUCUCACAGCAUGGUAAUUAAAGUGUUAAAAUGGAGAGGCACAGGACCAAGGAAGAACGCAUCCAGAAAUUACCCGCACCCAGUCAUUUUCAGGGCACUCAUCUAAUCCUGUCAAUGGAACUUUUUGAGAUGGCUCUAAAUUUCAGUGUGGUUUAGAAGUCCUUCAAGUAGUACGGAAUUUUUUCACUGUCUCUGUCAUCAGUGAGAUUUCUGUCAGGCAUCUCAGCUUGUAGGCCAUGUAGUCUGUCACAACUCCUCCCCCUUGUGGCUGUAGGGUGAAAGCAGCCGCAGACAAUUCCUAGAAGGAGUAGGCUGUUUAUGGACACUGAAAUUUGAAUUUCAUGUAUUUUUAAUGUGUCAUGAGAUAUUCUCUCGAUUUUUUUCCAACAAUUUAAAACUGUAAAAACUAUCCUUAGCCUGCAGGCUAUACAAAAACAGCUGUUUGCCAAUCCUUGCACUAGCUUUGUGAGGGAGGCACAGCUCGCACCCAGCACAGGACCUAGCAAAAUCGAAGAUGCUCAGUAAAUGUUUAUUGAAUGAAUUCAGUGGACAGAUGACCAGAAAAACCCCAUGAUGCCUCAGAAAUACACUCCAAAGGAACUUUUACAAUGUAGUUUUCACAUAGUUAUUUCAUUUAUAUUUGUUUUGUAACAUUUGUACUGCUUUUCGCUUAUUUACUUUUGAGACAAGGUCUCUGUCUCCCAGGCUGGAGUGCAGUGGUGCGAUCUCAGCUCACUGCAACCUCUGCUUCCCAGGUUGAAGUGAUUCUCCUGCCUCAGCCUCCUGAGUAGCUGGGAUUACAGGCAUGAGCCACCAUGCCUGGCCGGGAAUUCAUCUUAUUUUAUAAAACUGCCAAAGUUAUCAAAAAUAAACUAAAACCAGGCCGGGCACGGUGGCUCACACCUGUAAUCCCAGCACUUUGGGAGGCUGAGGCAGGCGGAUCGCUUGAGCUCAGGAGUCGGAGAUGAGCCUGGCCAACAUGGUGAAACCCUGUCUCAACUAAAAAUACAAAAAGCAGCCGGGCAUGGUGGCGCACGCCU